UGGGAUGUAGCUCAGUGGUAGAGCACUUGCCUAGCAUAUGCAAGGCCCUGGGUUCGAUCCCCUGCACUUCAC
rnacentral:tRNA from 1 species